rnacentral:rRNA from 1 species
AUUUACCUAGUCAAAACAAGCAAAGCGUAACUUAAGUUUGCUUUCCCGAAACUAAGUGAGCUACUUUGAAACAGCCUUAUGGGCCAACUCGUCUCUGUUGCAAAAGAGUGAGAAGAUUUUUAAGUAGAAGUGAAAAGCCUAUCGAACUUAGAGAUAGCUGGUUAUUUGGGAAAAGAAUAUUAGUUCUGCCUUAAGUUAAACAAACACAAUUUUAAGAAACUUAAGAGUUAUUCAAAUAAGGUACAGCCUAUUUGAUACAGGAAACAACCUAGAGAGUAGGGUAACGUCAUUUAAAAUACAUAAUCAAGUUGGCCUAAAAGCAGCCAUCUUCUAAAAAGCGUCAAAGCUUAAUUAUCUAGUAAUAUUAAUUUCAACAAAAACACAAAACCCACAUUUAAUACCAAAUAGCUUUAUAAAAAUUAUAAAAGAUAUAAUGCUAAAACUAGUAAUAAGAAAAAGACUUUCUCCUAAAUACAAGUGUAACGCAGAAUAGACAAAUUACUGCUAAUUACUGUUCAUGCCCUAAUAGUAGUAACCUCACUAGAAAACUCUACUAAUUAUAACAUUAAUCUAACACAAGAGUAUUACAGGAAAAAUUAAAAGAAAAGGAAGGAACUCGGCAAAUA